UCCCUGGUAGUAUAUCGGCUAGUACACCCGCCUGUCACUUCUGACCUCGAGUCAUGGUGCGCGGGAGAGCGGGGUUCGACUCCCCGCCAAGGAG